rnacentral:SRP_RNA from 1 species
CAUCGGUCCUCCCGCAAUGAUAGAUAGCAAACUCCGCCAGGCCUGGAAGGGAGCAACGGUAGUUAUCGACUCAUGUGCCGGGAUGUGGCUGAUGCCG